GAUGAACGCUAGCGGCAGGCUUAAUACAUGCAAGUCGAGGGGUAGCAAGAUUGUAGCAAUACAAUUGUUGACGACCGGCAAACGGGUGCGGAACACGUACACAACCUUCCUACAAGUGGGGAAUAGCCCAGAGAAAUUUGGAUUAAUACCCCGUAACAUAGCGAUGUGGCAUCACAUUGCUAUUAUAGCUUCGGCGCUUGUUGAUGGGUGUGCGGCUGAUUAGAUAGUUGGCGGGGUAACGGCCCACCAAGUCUACGAUCAGUAGCUGAUGUGAGAGCAUGAUCAGCCACACGGGCACUGAGACACGGGCCCGACUCCUACGGGAGGCAGCAGUAAGGGAUAUUGGACAAUGGACGCAAGUCUGAUCCAGCCAUGCCGCGUGAAGGAUUAAGGUCCUCUGGAUUGUAAACUUCUUUUAUAAGGGACGAAAAAAGGUCUUUCUAGAUCGUCUGACGGUACCUUAUGAAUAAGCACCGGCUAACUCCGUGCCAGCAGCCGCCGUAAAAC
rnacentral:rRNA from 1 species